GUUCCAAGCUAGGAGGAGCUUCCACUAACGGGCAGCACCCCGUCAACGCCAAGGGUUUGUGCCGACUCUCCCUCACUGAAGGACAGACCCUGGACCCACGACGGCACCUCAAAGCCCCCGAGUGCACAGACUGGCUCUUGGGUCGGAGCCUGGGUUGCUUCAUCUGAAAUGGAGGACCCCAGGCCUCCGAGGCUGCACUUCCUGGAAAGGCUCUUCGUGGCCACCUGAACGAGCCCUCGGCAGGUCUGAGAAGCAGAAACCCCUCCAGGGCUGCCACUCGGCCUGUGCUGACUCCAGCCCUCUGCCCUGCUGGGAGCGGUGUGGCUCAAGUCAGCUACCUUUGACCCUCCAGGGCCGAGACCCUUCUCAGCGGGUAGAGCAGGGGAGCUGAGGGGCCUGAACUCCAGCCAAGACAGCCAGGUCCCCAGCCUGGGAUGAAUGCUGUUUGGGUUCCUCUCCCCCAUCACCUGGAGGAAGGGCCCAAAGACAACCUCAACCCUGCGCCGCAUCUGCAUCAGGAGCAGCGCUGCCUCGCCGGGCGGGGGCACAGCGCCUCCAAACACCCCCUUCCCACUGUCUCCGGGCUCAUGGGGACAGGGAAUGACAGGUCUUCAUCUGCCCCCAGGUGGAAGGGCUCAAAUGCGCUGCUUCUGGAAGCGUCCUGGGUCCCCCUCUGCUCUGGUACCUUUGGCUUGCACCUGAGCCCAGGGCAGGGACAGGAGCAGGGCAGGGACAGGAGCAGAUCAGGAGACCCCAAGAGAGUGUGAGCCAGGAGCCAAGACCCUGCGGCGCUUACCUGGAGCCAGGAGGAAAGCCCAGGGACCCAAACUUCUGCAGGCGGCGCUUACCUGGAGCCAGGAGGAAAGCCCAGGGACCCAAACUUCUGCAGGCGGCGCUUACCUGGAGCCAGGAGGAAAGCCCAGGGACCCAAACUUCUGCAGGCUGCGCAGGACGCCACUGACCUCGGGAGCCCAGGAGGACGCGCUUCCCAGGAGCCACAGGUGUGCCUCGUUAGCAGGGAACACACUACCCGUGGGCCCUGCGCACACCCUGCCUGUGGGGUAAAUCAAGACCUAAAUUCGCUCAAGGAAGCGCACUCCUAUUCCCCGGGGCCCUGGACCAGGCCCAGGGCAGGGCAGGGUCAAGGGCAGAGCUGCCCCGCAGAGCAGCAGCUCCAGGCUGGAUCCUUCGGCUGCGGGGCACCAGCGCCUGGCACAGAAAUCCCACUUGGGAGGCCGAGGUGGGAGGAUCACUUGAGCCCAGGAGUUCAAGACCAGCCUAGGCAACAAAGCAAGACCCCAUCUCUACAAAAAAUUUAAAAAUUAGCUGGCCAUGGUAGUGUGCACCUGUAGUCCCAGUUAGCUGGGAGGCUGAGACGGGAGGAUCACUUGAGCCUGGGAGGUUGAGGUUCUGAUAAGCUGUGGUUGUGCCACUGCACUCCUGCCUGGGUGACAGUGAGAUUCUGUCUCUAAAAAAAAAAAAUCCAUCCCCAACAGGGGCUCAGGGUUCCUGGGCGCCCCUUUGAUGACAGCUCCUAAAGUCACCGUCUCCCUCCCGCUUCCCUCCAGAGACCUCCCAGCAAUGCCAGUUUGACUCUCUGACCGGCCUGCCCGGCGGAGGGCUGUCCCCACCUCCUUUGAAAUCUUUCUUUGCUCACUGUUUUCUCUUCCAGCUGCUGAGAUCGACACUGGCCCAAAGGGUUAAGAGCUUGGACCUUGGCUUCAGGGGCACCUUUGCCCAGAGAAAGCCCUGCAGGCACCAGGACCAGGGCAAGCCCCCGCACUGGCUGGCCAGGGCCGCCCCCGAGCGCACUAGUGAGCACAAUGGCUGCUUCUCCAGGUUCUGUGUUCUCCCACCUGGGGCUCGAGGAUCUGGAUGGCCUGAGAUGAGAACAGGGGCUCAGGAGGGAGAAGACCCCGGCGUGGGGAAAGCUGGAGAAGGGGCAGCUGGCCCCCUCAGAGCUCACUGUGGACACUCACCUGGUGGCUGAUGGCGGUCGCGGCCUCCGAGGCGGCCAGCUUGGCCAUGGCUGCCUCCUAAACAUGGGGGUACAGUCAGAGCCUUCCCUUGAGGGGACCCCUCCACCCCCUGCUCCCCCACUCCCUCAGCAGGGGAGGCCUGUGGAGCCUCCCCAUGGGGCAGUAAACCCCAGGCCCACACCUCUGACCCACGGGGCCAAGGAGCAGACACCCGCCCCAACCUCUCCCAGUCCCUGGGCCCACGACAUUCUGGGCCAUGGCUCGGGGACCCCUGUGGGCACCUUGAUGAAAGGCUUCUUGUUAUCCUUCAGCAUGGCAGCGCGCCAGGUCAGCAGCCGGGCACUCUCCAGGGCCAGGGCCAUGUCUGCCAACUUGAACUGCAAUAGCCCCACCCCACACCACAGGUCAGCAGCUGCCCCUCCAGGGACAGGAGGGAGGGGGAGGAGGACGGAGAGCAGUCAGGAGGCCACACUCUCUGCCCGCUGUCCAGCCUCUAGGCCCAGCUCCUAAAGCUACCACCAUUACCUGGAUGACCUGGAGCUUGGUGAGGGGCGCCCCGAAGGCCAUGCGAUUCUCAGCGUAGUUCACAGCACAAUCGAGGGCGGUCUGGGCAAUGCCCAGGGCCUGGGAGGCGAUGCCGAUGCGGCCCAUGUCCAGGGUUUGCUGUGGGGACCGCCCUGGUCAGUGGCCCGCCAGCCGGGGCACAGGCCUGGCCUCAAGGUGCCACCCCCACUGCUGGGCUCACCAUGGCUAUCUUGAAGCCCAUCCCUGGCUCCCCCAGGAUGCUGUCCUUGGGGAUGCGACAGUCCUCAAAGAUGAGGUUGGCCGUGGAUGAGCCUCGGAUGCCCAGCUUGUCUUCUUUCUUCCCCAACGUGAGCCCAGGCGUUGGCAUGGGGACCAGGAAGGCACUGAUGCCCUGAAAGGAGAGGCGGGCGGUUUUCUCAGAGCUGCCCCUCAGCCACACCCUCACACCAGCACACCCAACACCAACCCGGUCCCGUCCCCACCUCCCUCGGAAGCUCAGGCCUUGACACCCUCUGCCGGCUUCUGGGGAAGGUGCAGGCUUCAGUGGCAGCUGAGGAGGGACAGGGACAGCCCACUUGCCCCAGAGCAAAUAUAGGUCCAGUCAGGCCAAGGAGAGAAGGCUCUAGAAACAGAAAUGACAGCAGCCCAGGAUCUGGCUGAACCCCUCUCUGGGGUGCCCACCUUGUUUUGCAGGGCUCUGUCCGUGCUGGCAAAGACCACAGCAGCUGAGGCCUCCCAGGCAUUGGUGAUCCAGGCUUUGGUUCCAUUCAGGACCCAUGAGUCGCCCUCGGCCCGGGCGGUGGUGGACGCAGCUCCUGCAUCGCUGCCGUUCCCUGCCCGCACAGACCCAGGGCUCAGCGCACGCCCCGCCCCACACAACCUAAGGGCACCAGCCUCACUCCCUCCACACCCCAUGCUGGCAGACACGAAACCCUAUGACUCGGGCUCCAAAGAUGAGGGUCCCAAAG
rnacentral:lncRNA from 1 species